AGCGAACGCUGGCGGCAGGCCUAACACAUGCAAGUCGAGCGCCCAGCAAUGGGAGCGGCAGACGGGUGAGUAACGCGUGGGGAUCUGCCCAAUGGUACGGAAUAACCCAGGGAAACUUGGAUUAAUACCGUGUGUGCCCUUCGGGGGAAAGAUUUAUCGCCAUUGGAUGAACCCGCGUCGGAUUAGCUAGUUGGUGAGGUAAAGGCGCACCAAGGCGACGAUCCGUAGCUGGUCUGAGAGGAUGAUCAGCCACACGGGGACGGAGACACGGCCCAGACUCCUACGGGAGGCAGCAGUGGGGAAUAUUGGACAAUGGGCGCAAGCCUGAUCCAGCCAUGCCGCGUGUGUGAUGAAGGCCUUAGGGUUGUAAAGCACUUUCGCCGGUGAAGAUAAUGACGGUAACCGGAGAAGAAGCCCCGGCUAACUUCGUGCCAGCCGCCGCCGUAACAC
rnacentral:rRNA from 1 species